GUGGGCGAUUCUGCUGGAAAAAUUCCAACUUCCUAGUUGACACCACAAUUAACUAUCACAGUUGGGAACAGCUGAACUAAAAGAACUGAAUUUGUUGCACGAGAGAAGGACAAAGACUAGCCCCCAAUGACAUGGAUGGAAAUCAGCCCAUCCAUGGCCCCUAAUGUUGAACAAUCUGGUUUGAAUCACAGAUAUAUUUGAUGGCUCACAACAUAUAAUUGAAGACCUAAAUUUGGAAUCUUGCCACAAAUGCAUCUAGGAAGUUUUGAAUAGCCAAAGUUAAAUAUCCUGCAACUUUUGAAUCCAACUCCAAAGACCUAGUCCUAGGUAGUCAAUGCUAAGUG
rnacentral:lncRNA from 1 species